rnacentral:lncRNA from 1 species
CUUGACCUUUCAGGUCAGGUGAGCUAAAAACAUGAUUAUGCUUUAACUUAUUGACAACAUUAACUAACAAAUAAUCACAUCUGACACAUACUGAUAUUUUUCUUUAUCCUGCAAUCAGCCUUAUAUUGUACAAAUAACAGGUAUAUGAAUAAAUGUUUGCUAUAUUUGUACAUGUACAUGUACAAAUGUACAAAUAAAGUCUCCUGUUACCUGCUUUGACUUUGAGCAAGCAGUAAGACGGAUUUUUCUUUCUGGGUAACAGUUCAUUUUGGGGUCCUCUUCGCGGUCCGUGUUUCAACUAUGUCGAUUUCUUUGAAAAAUCAAAAGCAAUGAUUUCGAUUUGAACAGCUAACCUAAAGUACCGGGUGUAAAUUGCAAGAUAAAAACAAUAUAUGUACAUUGUCUGAAAAUAUAAAAUUUAUUUGUACUCGCUACGAAACAGGAGAAAAGCUCGGCACAGCCUCACUUUUCAUCAUGUUUCUAAAGCUCGUACAAAUAAAUUUGAUAUUUUCCGACAAGGUACAUAUAUUAUUACGCAUAUGUAUUAGUAAUACAAGUUCAUAAAGUCAUGGCUUUCUAUAAGAGGCAUCCAAUGAAACGUAACUUCUACAUUACUUGCAUUUUGUGACAUCAAUGCUAAGUAAUAGAAUAACUUCUUGGAGCCUCUAGUGAAUCAAUGCUAAGUAAUAGAAUAACUUCUUGGAGCCUCUAGUUUCACAUUUGGUAUUAUUAAGUAUGAUGGAAUGAUUAAAUAGGGAUUUUUCUAAACAUGAGUUAAGAAGACAUUACAGAAAUCAAUGAAUGAUAAAACAUAUAUACUUGGAUAUGCAAUGUAAAGGUUGACAAAAUGCAAUUAUAUGAACACUUCUGACAGGUGCUAAGUAAAUGUUUCAGUUGUAGGUAGAUUUACAGAAAUACAAGUAAAUAAAGAUUAUCAAGAUUCAACCUGUUUCCUAAAAUUAUGAACAAACAAUUUAUUUGGCAGUGAUUACUUUUGUGUAUGAAAAGGUUAACAGCCUAUAAAAAAACAAUAGUAAUUCUUAUUAGAAUGAUAUACUUAAUUUCAGAAGCUAAAUGUAGAAGUUAUGAUAAGCUUAAAGCAAAAAAAAAUACAACUGGACAAAAUAUAGCACUUUAAGUUACAUUUUAUAUACUGGUAUUCAGAGCAGUAAAUAAAGGUAUGAACAAUAUUAGAUAUCAUAGUUGUUGGAAGAUUUGUUAUAUAUACUAUAAUGGAGCAUUAAUUUGUAAAUUUUAACUGAAUUUUACUCAUUUUUAAUUGGAGAAUAAAGUCAUACAUUUACAACUGGAAUGUGUUAAUGGUGGGUCUCAUUGGGGUCUAAGCGUGACGCGGGAUUGCCGAUUUUUUGUAAGCGGGACAUGUGAAAGUCAAAUUAUUGUGUCGUGAAAACGGGAAAUGAGGUCUAGCGGGACCCGGGAAAUGACAAAAACGAGAAUUGCUUACGUACAUAGUGUAAGCGGGAUACGGGAAUCUGACAAAACAGUAAGCGGGAUCCGGGAUCGGAACCCCCCAAUGAAACCCCUUAAUGAAGAGAAAUGUAAAUUAGUUGAGAUACAAUACCCUAUGAACCAACCUAUGGUAAAGUUAAAUCUAAAUCAUCCAACAGUUGAAGAUUUUCUUAUACACUGUGGGAAAACAGUUUUAAAUGCUUUUGUAUUGCUUUUGAAAUAAACAGUGCUAAAUUAAGAGUAGUAAUGCAAUAUCCAGCAAAGCAAUUCUUAUUUCAAUGACUUGUAAUUCCUAUCACAAAUCCUGUAACAUUCUGAGCCAUUUCAAUGAAUUAAAAUAAUAAGAUUAUAUAUCAUAUGGAAAAUGAUAAGAGGAAUUAUGAAGAACAAGAAUAUCAAUAAAUACAGGGUUUGUGUGAAGAACUUAUGAGAAUUUCGUUGUACAUCAACCUCUACAACCAAAUUCUAGAAGGGUAAUUCAUAAAUUUUAAGAAAAAGAUAAACUGAUCUGUCAUAAUUAACAAAUAUUGUUAAAUAAAACUUAACUUAUAACUAAUUAUAAUUAAAAGCUAGGGGCUACGUUAAUUUUGAUGUCAUGGGUUAAUUCUUUGGCUAAUCAUUUAAUACCUUUAAACAACUGUAAAGAUGAAGAGCUGCAAUUUAAUAAGCUGUACUUUUCAUCUACUACUGAAUCAAGUUCUAAAAAAUACUUGUGCACUUCAUACAGUCAGAUUUUAAAGCUAAUCAUUGUGGAAUAAAUGGCCAAUCGGCAGAAAUGAAGACAAUUUGAUGUAAUUGACAUUAAUUAAAUAUGUUACAACAAGCAAACAAUAUGUUGAUUAUAAGAAAGACAGAAAAUUGAGACCAUUUUGUUCCCAAAUUCCCAAAAUCUAAAUAAAUAUAACAAAGACUUAUUCACCUCAAAAAAUUAUUCAGAUCAAUAAAAUACAACAUAAUAAUGUAAGCAAGAUUUUGUGAAAGUUUCU